UAAGGAGUUAGUUAAAAUAUAACAUUAGAAUGUCAAUCUAAAAUAACUAUAUAAUAGUACACCUUG
rnacentral:tRNA from 1 species